rnacentral:other from 1 species
UGACCCCUGCGGUGUUCGCCAGAGUCCGGUGUAACCCUUGAGCCUUAAUAAUGUAUACCGGGGUACAAGGUCCUGGUGGUGAGCAGGUCCACCUCGCAGUGGAAAGCCUAAGCCUUGACUGAGUUCCCCACCUGAACCUUAGGUUCAGGGUCAAAGGACACAGCGGCACAGGCGGGGGUCAU